rnacentral:rRNA from 1 species
GACGAACGCUGGCGGCGUGCUUAACACAUGCAAGUCGAACGGAAAGGCCCUGCUUUUGUGGGGUGCUCGAGUGGCGAACGGGUGAGUAACACGUGAGUAACCUGCCCUUGACUUUGGGAUAACUUCAGGAAACUGGGGCUAAUACCGGAUAGGAGCUCCUGCUGCAUGGUGGGGGUUGGAAAGUUUCGGCGGUUGUGGAUGGACUCGCGGCUUAUCAGCUUGUUGGUUGGGUAGUGGCUUACCAAGGCUUUGACGGGUAGCCGGCCUGGGAGGGUGACCGGCGACAUUGGGACUGAGAUACGGCCCAGACUCCUACGGGAGGCAGCAGUGGGGAAUAUUGCACAAUGGGCGGAAGCCUGAUGCAGCAACGCCGCGUGCGGGAUGACGGCCUUCGGGGUGUAAACCGCUUUCGCCUGUGACGAAGCGUGAGUGACGGUAAUGGGUAAAGAAGCACCGGCUAACUACGUG